CUGAGAUCUGAGGUUUCUGUUAGACCCUCUCUGUUGCCUGUGUCACCGUGGCGCUCCAUGAGAGCACAGAAAUACGUCGCAGCAUCCCCCAGCUGCGAGUCGGAGAUCUCCAGGCUGAAGGACUUAGCUGCUUUCUGGAAGUUCACAGAGAAGCGGUUUAACGUUGCAUUAUACUGCUUGUAUGCUUCUUGGAGAAUGACGAGAGUCACCUGCCCUCCUUGCUGUUUGUACCAGAACAAGAGCCACCCUCAUCAUCUUUUAUUGAUGCCAAUUGACAAAACCUGGAUCUGCCCACUACACAUCUAUUUAUACAGCUACUUCUUCCAUGUCUGCACAGAUGCUGAGAUCUGAGGUUUCUGUUAGACCCUCUCUGUUGCCUGCGUCACUGUGGCUCCCCCUGAGUGCACAGAAAUACGUCGCAGCAUCCCCCAGCUGCGAGUCGGAGAUCUCCAGGCUGAAGGACUUAGCUGCUUUCUGGAAGUUCACAGAGAAGCGGUUUAACGUUGCAUUAUACUGCUUGUAUGCUUCUUGGAGAAUGACGAGAGUCACCUGCCCUCCUUGCUGUUUGUACCAGAACAAGAGGCCCAUGACCUCCUCACAACAUAAGAAGCAUUUAGCCAAACUGUGAAAGCUCCAAUAGUCUUCAGCAGCUCCAACACUGUUCAAAAGUAUACCCAUGUCUCCUGGGAUGUGAUCCAGUCUGCUCUUCCAAGCCCUGUAACAAAACCACAACAGAGACCAUCAAACAAGGCUCUUCUUCCCAGAGGGCAGCUCGGGUGUGGGAUAGAACUGUUACCUGGAAGAGCCAGUGCUAGGAACAAUGUGAAGAUAAGCAUCCCAUACAUUGCUUCCUCUAAAGUCCUGAUUUAAGAUCUUGCAAUAUUCAGUGGAUACUUCAGGCUUGUAGCAUUUCUCAGUCAGGGUUCUGGGAGGUGGUUUGUGGCUGGUUUUUAUCAUGUUUCAGAAAUGGGAGGAGCUCAAGUUAACUAGAGAAUUGUCUAAAGGAGCUUAAAUAAUUCUCCAUGACUUGAGAAACACUGUUCAUUUGAGAUAGUCUGGGUUUAUAUUUCCAUGCUCAUGAGCACAGGCAAACGAGUUAACAGCAGUGAUGAGUUUGCAUAGGUUGGGCUUGUGUGCUCCUGUAUUUAUUCAUUUUAGAAGAAUGUUAUUUUGGAAACAGGUUAAUCUUUUAAGAUGUGAAUUUAGUUUGGUACUUGUAACAAUGUGAAAUAAGCACGAGAGUAAGAGAAAAUUCUCCAUUCGAGCUGCACCAACUCUUCAAGGAGAGCUACUCACAUCUAUAGCCUCUAUUUUAUAAACUCUUCACACCACUGUGCCAACAAUACUGGGAAGAUUUACAAGGCAUGUAUUCUAUUUCUGGAGCCUGCUUAUGGUAAUAAAUGUUCAAAUUAGUUUGCAGUGUACUCAGAGAGUCAGUAUUUUUAAUGAAGCAAUUGAUAUAGGAAACAGUGUUAAAAUAGAGUGUAAGAAUUAGGUAAAUGAGAAGGAAGACAUUUGCUAGAAUAGAAUAAACGAUACCCAGUGGUUUCUACCUUUUUUUAUUUGCUAACUUCAGGAAUAAAAGUUGCAGGCUUUCUUAUAACUAAUCAUAUCUUUAGUCUAGGUGGAAUAUAACACAUCCAUAAGAGCAGGGGGAAUGUACACAGUAGUUUCAGGACUAGUCCUGAUCAGAGAGCUUCAUUUUCACUACGGGGCAGACUGUAUGGUAAUGUGGUUCAUGGAUACUCCAGAGCCCGAGCAUGUAUACACAUUUGAGUACAGGAUGCAGAUGUCUAGGAGCUCAACGCUUCCUCGGUGCAGGAGGCAGCUGAGACUGUAGAUAGGGAGGUGGCAAUGUGUAGGGUAGAGAAUACUUUUUCCUGUUUAAGUUGCUACUUAACUUCUAGACUUUUCCCUCUUGAAAUUAGUACGUGGGCACCUUUCUUGCUGCUCAUAUUAGCGUAAGCUUGGCAAAAUAGUCAGUUCACAACCACAAUUAAAAGUUGCACUUUUUUUUUUUUCAUGGAC